rnacentral:sRNA from 1 species
UAGAUUACAGUUUUACUUUAUUGGAAAGUGAAUAAAACUCCAGCUAUUACCUUAUUGGAGUGUCUGAAGGGAACAGAGGAAAAUACAUGUACUCCGCCUACCAUGUUAAACCAGAAGGAGGUCUUGCAUUCUUUUUGAACAGAUUCAUUGUGACACUAAGACUUGUAUCUGUAUACCUAUGCAUAUAUGGAUUGCUUUUAUUAACAUUUGGGCUGUCACAUGGUGACUGAAGAACUUCAUUCCAUAACCUUUGAAACACAGAUCUGCCUCUAUGGCCUGACCAUAGAUUUGGAGACCAGCUCAUUGCCUGUGGUGAUGAUUUCCAAUGUCAGUCAGUUACCUAAUGCUUGGGCAUCCAUCAUUUGGUACAACGUGUCAACCAAUGAUUCCCAGAACUUGGUUUUCUUUAAUAAUCCUCCACCUGCCACAUUGAGUCAACUACUGGAGGUGAUGAGCUGGCAGUUUUCAUCGUACGUUGGUCGUGGCCUUAAUUCAGAUCAACUCAAUAUGCUGGC